AGAGUUUGAUCAUGGCUCAGAACGUACGCUGGCGGCACGCCUAACACAUGCAAGUCGAACGAAGUAGCAAUACUUAGUGGCAGACGGGUGAGUAACAUGUGGGUAUCUACCCUUUGGCCUGGAAUAACACGAGGAAACUUGUGCUAAUACCGGAUAAGUCUUUACAGAGAAAGCUUUAUGCACCAUUGGAUGAGCCUGCACUUGAUUAGUUAGUUGGUAGGGUAAUGGCCUACCAAGACUUUGAUCAAUAGCUGAUUUGAGAGGAUGAUCAGCCACAUUGGGACUGAGACACGGCCCAAACUCCUACGGGAGGCAGCAGUGGGGAAUCUUGCACAAUGGAGGAAACUCUGAUGCAGCGAUGCCGCGUGAGUGAAGAAGGCCCUUGGGUUGUAAAGCUCUUUCGUCGGGGAAGAAAAUGACUGUACCCGAAUAAGAAGGUCCGGCUAACUUCGUGCCAGCAGCCGCGGUAAUACGAAGGGACCUAGCGUAGUUCGGAAUUACUGGGCUUAAAGAGUUCGUAGGUGGUUGAAAAAGUUGGUGGUGAAAUCCCAGAGCUUAACUCUGGAACUGCCAUCAAAACUUUUCAGCUAGAGUAUGAUAGAGGAAAGCAGAAUUUCUAGUGUAGAGGUGAAAUUCGUAGAUAUUAGAAAGAAUACCAAUUGCGAAGGCAGCUUUCUGGAUCAUUACUGACACUGAGGAACGAAAGCAUGGGUAGCGAAGAGGAUUAGAUACCCUCGUAGUCCAUGCCGUAAACGAUGUGUGUUAGACGUUGGAAAUUUAUUUUCAGUGUCGCAGCGAAAGCAAUAAACACACCGCCUGGGGAGUACGACCGCAAGGUUAAAACUCAAAUGAAUUGACGGGGACCCGCACAAGUAGUGGAGCAUGUGGUUUAAUUCGAAGAUACGCGCAGAACCUUACCA
rnacentral:rRNA from 1 species